rnacentral:rRNA from 1 species
GGGGAAAAUUAAUAAUUUAAAUUUAAUAAAAAAAAUUUUAAUAUUAAAAAGAAAAAUGGGGGUUUAAGUAUUUUUAAUAGAAAAAAUUAAUAAUUUUAUAGUUAAAUAUUACUGUAAAGGAAUUUAUAAAUAAAUGAAAUAUAAUUAAUGAAAAAGUAAAUUUAAAUUAUUGUAUCUUGUGUAUCAGAGUUUAUUAAAUAAUAAUAAUUUAUUUAAAUAAAUCUCGAAUUUAAAAGAGUUAAUUAGUUAAAAAAGUUAAUGUUGUAUAAUUAUUUUAAAUAACUAAUUGGAAAUGAAAUGUUAAUCGUUUUUAAAUAUAUCUAGUUUUUUCAGAAAAAAAUUUAAUUUUAAAUUUAAAUAAUUUUAUAAUUAUUUAAUUAAUUAUAAAAAUUUAAAUUUUAAUAUUUUAAGGGAUAAGCUUUAAAUUAAAAAUUUAUAAUUAAUAAAUAAUUAAAAUUAAAAUUUUUAAAAUUUAUAUUGUUUAAAAAUUAUAGUUUAUUAUAAAAAAUUUUAUUAAAAAAUAAAAUUUAAAAUAAAAAAAUUUAAAUUUUUAUGAAAAAAUAAUUUAUAAUUUAAUAAAAUUAGAAAUAAUGAUAAAAUUAGUAUAAUAUAAUAAAUUAAAAAAAAAAAUUAUAAAGAAAUAAGUUAAAGGAAUUCGGCAAAUUUUUAUAUUCACUUGUUUAUCAAAAACAUGUCUUUUUGAUAAUAAUUUAAAGUCUAAUCUGCCCACUGAUAAUAUAUUAAAGGGCUGCAGUAUAUUGACUGUACAAAGGUAGCAUAAUCAUUAGUCUUUUAAUUGAAGACUUGUAUGAAAGAUUUGAUGAAAUAUAAACUGUCUCUAAUUUAUGUUUAGAAAUUAAUUUUUUAGUUAAAAAGCUAAAAUAAUAUUAAAAGACGAGAAGACCCUAUAGAGUUUUAUAUUUUAUUUAAUUAAUGUUAAAUAUAUAAUUAAAUAUAUUAAUUAAAUAAAAUAUUUUGUUGGGGUGAUAAAAAAAUUUAAUAAACUUUUUUUUAAGUUUAAACAUAAAUAAGUGGUUAAUUGAUCCAUUAAUAAUGAUUAAAAGAAAAAAUUACCUUAGGGAUAACAGCGUAAUAUUUUUUUUUAGUACAUAUAAAAAAAAAAGUUUGCGACCUCGAUGUUGGAUUAAGAUAAAAUUUAAAUGCAAAAGUUUAAAAUUUUGAUCUGUUCGAUCAUUAAAAUCUUACAUGAUCUGAGUUCAAACCGGUGUAAGCCAGGUUGGUUUCUAUCUUUAAUAAAAAAAAAUAUUUUAGUACGAAAGGAUCAAAUAUUUAAAAUAAUUUUAUUUAAAUGAAUAUUAAUAAUAAUAGUUUA